UAAAUAGCCUCAAAAAUGGCGUCCACUUCUUCAUUUAUCUGAAGGAUCCUCAUUCUAAAGAAAGGAAGAAGUUAGAAACAGACACAGUUGGAAACCUGCAAGUCCAGUCCUUCAUGAGUAGAGUUUCUGAUGAACUGAACCUACCAGAAGAACAACUGACUUUAAUGUAUGGUAGUCGUGUUUUAAAAUCUGGAAAGACGUUGGGCCAGUAUAAAAUUGAAGAAGGAAUGAUGAUAUUCUAUAUGAUAAAGAAACCAAAGUCUGAAUUGUGGAGAGCAUGGUGUGAAAAGGGAGGAGUCUCAGCUAAAGAGAUUAGCACAGAACCCACGAGUACAUCAAAUAUUUCAGUGUAUAUUGGCAAACCCACUUUUGCUCUCUUCGAUUGUUCAAGGAACAGAAUUGGAGAAUAAUCCAGUUGUACAAAACUUUGCCAGUAAUCCUAUGAUACAAGCAGCUGCUUCUGAUCCACAAGAAUUAACAAGGAUAUUGGAAAGCGAUGAAUCCCAAGCUGAAGGUGCUCGUCAACUAUUGGAGCAAAUCGGUGCACUCGUUGCCGUGGAGAGAGGGUGUAACCGCGACGACGUUGAAGACGAUCAAAUUGUGGACAUGUUGGAACAAGCAGUUGAUGAUAACGAAAUGGAUUUCAUGGACAUGGGAGGAGAAGAAGAAGAACUGGCCGACGCACAAGAGCAAAUGUAUCAUUAUUCUCAAGCUAUUUUAGCUCAUCAGAACAGUAACCAACCACAAGGUCAGAAUAUGGAGACAAAUUCAGAGGCUACACCUAAUCCUCCUCCACCUCCUUAUCCUGGAC
rnacentral:lncRNA from 1 species